GUUACCUUAUUUGUACUGAUCUCUUAUCUGCAUUCAUAGAAAAUAAGGCCUUAAUGUUACAAAUGCUGCACCAAGCCCAAUUCACUUCAGUGGAUUCAAUAAAAACACAGAAGCCCAUCUGUGCUCACUGCAGAAACAGCACUGAGUACUUUAAGCUUGAUCUUAUCAUCAAGUUUAAUUAGAAUCACUGGGACUUAGCAUAGGUGUAAAGAACCAUCAUGUUGAUCUACUUGCGGGAUCAUAGCCUUAAUGUAAAGACAUACAGCAUUUUGUUAUUACUUCAAAUAAUCCAAGUUGAUCGCCUUUCAAGAAAUAAGAUCUGAUCUUCCAGGUGGCUCUGCACAGGUAGGAACACGUUCUUUCCACAAGCAUUAACUGUCACUCAUAAGUCACAGUUUCUCCUCAUAAGAGUAGAUAAGAACAGGAAUUAUUCUCCUUCCCCUCCAGCACACUUUUCGCACUCACUGCAAGUCUUCCCAGGGUCCAGAAUUAAUAAAACAGAUAAUGUUUGUUGCACUCCACUCCUCAAGGCAUCUGCCUACAUUGCUGCGUGAUAAUAUGCUACAUCUAGCCCUGGGUAAUAGGUAUGUAAAUCCAGAAGGCAAUUUUUAACUAUAAAGCACACUGCAAUUGGUUGCAGAUCUAUGAUUAUGUCAUAGUAACUCACUCAAAAAUGUUAAGAUUAGCUAUGUAAUUAAAAGAGUAUUAAAUGAAUAGUUUAGGAAUACACAACAUUUGCAAGCAGGCACAAGAAGAGCUAAAUGAACUUACAUAGUCACUUUAGUUUUAUAUUCGGAAACGUCCUCUUGUCCUCCUCACUGUCAGCGGUACAUCAGCAACAGCCUCAGAGCUCUCAUGCUCUCUCUCAGGAGGUAGGGUUUUAUUUGUUUAUAUGUAUAUUUUUGGUUGUUUUUUUUUCUUUCUGUUCAUUAGAUUUUUUUAAAAUACGGAAUUCCCUUUGAGAAAUCACCCACUCAGAUUAACUUCUAAGAAAUACUGUGGAAGAAGUGAGUUUCCAAUAAAGGAAACAACAUUCUAAAGCUAAACACACUAAAAUUACCCACACCUUUGAUGUUUUUCCUGAUUUAGCAUUUUCUUUAGUAAACAUCAGCAAGGCCUGGUCUAAAAAAGAUUAUGAUAUUAAGCUCUUUUAUUAAUCCAACCUCAACACAUUUCCUUCUCAAUUCAUUGCAAGAAUUAUUACUGGAAGCUCUUGAAGAAAAGCACUCUCCUACACCCACAAUUAUCUGAGAAGCAAAAUAGGAAGGUAAAGAGUAAAAACUUAUAAAAAUUAAAAUUUAUGUGUAUGUGUUCAUCUCAUUUUUCCCAUGCCUGAUAUCUCUAGGAUUUCAUAGGGUUUUUAGAGGAUCCAUCUUAGAAUAACUAUUAAAAUACAAGAGCAAUGUUUCUAUGUCUACAAAUCAGGGAGAACAGGUAUCAACAUUACUGAAAAAAUAAUGGAGAAAAAAAAAAGAAAAAAAAACUGAAAGCUAACAGCAGGACUACAUUUCUUUUAUACAUUUACCAUUAUUACUAAGCAAAAAAACUUAGAGAAAAUACUCACAUAAAUUAGACUUGUACUCUCACAUUGCAGGUGAAGAGUGGAAAAAAAAGAGAGGGAAAAGGAUUUUCUUUAACAGAUAUCGAUAUUGCUUGCAAACCUAAUUCAUCUUUCCCCUAUCAAAAAAAGUUCAUUAAUUUCUACAUCUUAUUUUGUGCCUAAAAAUUUUGGGGCUGGGCUAAAACUGCUGUACCCUCACUCACCUACUAACAGGUGGAUCUCAUUUCUUCCCUCAUGUUAUCCACACCAAUCACAUUUAUACGCUGUUGUCCCUCUAGAAUACAUCACUAAUUUAAACAGGCAAAACUAAACAGAAGCUUAAAGAAAAACUUUUUUUCCUGGUAAUAUCUUGAUGUCAAGAAGUAUAACAGUACAAUGAUUAGAUGUGUCUGCUGCUCUUCACAUACCUUCCAUCCUAAUUUCUGCAUGCAUCACUCAGUGAAAUCAGGCUCUCCCUUUCAUUAUAUAAAGGACUGAUUAAACCUAGUCUAAAAAAUAUCUUGCAUUUUGCUUACAAAAUCCUUAAUAUUUUGCUAAUGAGUUCUGUAAUAUGCCCAAGGAUUCAUAAGGUACACUUGUGUAGUGGAAAUGCUAAGUCAGGGCCUGAACCAGUGAUUGAGCACCUGGUGGGAAGGCAGUGCCGACCCAGGGGAGCUCAGGUGAAUGUAAUGCCCCUGAGUGACCAGAAGGAUUGGAGCCAGGAUCCACUCCUUCCCAGACCUCAUUUAAGGGUUGGCAGUGGAGGUGAGGGCAUCUCUUGCUGGAGAUCUAUGCUUACUUGAGGCCCUCCAAAGCCUACAAUUGCCUGGCCACACAAAACAGAAAUUAAAGCCAUUGGCUUCCAGUGAACUAAGUCUGCAUGGAGAU
ensembl:lncRNA